AUUGAACGCUGGCGGCAGGCUUAACACAUGCAAGUCGAGCGAGCGGCGGACGGGUGAGUAAUGUCUGGGAAACUGCCUGAUGGAGGGGGAUAACUACUGGAAACGGUAGCUAAUACCGCAUACCAUCAGAUGUGCCCCUAUGGGAUUAGCUAGUAGGUGGGGUAAUGGCUCACCUAGGCGACGAUCCCUAGCUGGUCUGAGAGGAUGACGCGCAAAACGGGAACUCAGACACGGUCCAGACUCCUACGGGAGGCAGCAUUGGGGAAUAUUGGACAAUGGGCUGAAGCCUGAUGCAGCCAGGCCGGGUGGGUGAAGAAGGCCUUCGGGUUGUAAAGCACUUUCAGCGAGGAGGCGUUACUCGCAGAAGAAGCACCGGCUAACUCCGUGCCAGCAGCCGCGGUAAUAC
rnacentral:rRNA from 1 species